GUGAAGACGUAAACCUCCAGAUUCAGGGACAGUUUCUUCACAGCUGUUAUCAGGCAACUGAACCAUCAUAUCAACAACUAGAGAACAGUCCCGAGCUACCAUCUACUUCUGGAGACCCUCGGACAUCACUGGAGA